UACGAAGGGGGCUAGCGUUGCUCGGAAUCAUUGGGCGUAAAGCGCACGUAGGUGGCUUGUUAAGUCGGGUGUGAAAUCCCUGGGCUCAACCCAGGAAGUGCACUCGAAACUGGCGAGCUUGAGUACUGAAGAGGGUCGCGGAAUUCCCGGUGUAGAGGUGAAAUUCGUAGAUAUCGGGAGGAACACCAGUGGCGAAGGCGGCGACCUGGGCAGAUACUGACACUGAGGUGCGAAAGCGUGGGGAGCAAACAGG
rnacentral:rRNA from 1 species